rnacentral:rRNA from 1 species
GAUGAACGCUAGCGGCAGGCCUAACACAUGCAAGUCGAGGGAGAGGUUACCUUCGGGUCACCAAAACCGGCGCACGGGUGCGUAACGCGUAUACAAUCUGCCUUUCACAUAGGGAUAGCCCGAAGAAAUUUGGAUUAAUACCUAAUGGUAUAUAAGAGCGGCAUCGUUUUUAUAUUAAAGCUACGGUGGUGAAAGAUGAGUAUGCGUUCUAUUAGCUAGUUGGAGAGGUAACGGCUCCCCAAGGCGACGAUAGAUAGGGGUUCUGAGAGGGAUGUCCCCCACACUGGUACUGAGAUACGGACCAGACUCCUACGGGAGGCAGCAGUGAGGAAGAUUGGACAAUGGUUGGAAGACUGAUCCAGCCAUGCCGCGUGCAGGAUGAAGGUCCUAUGGAUGGUAAACUGCUUUUGUAAGGGAAGAAUAAGGAGUACGUGUACUUUGAUGACGGUACCUUACGAAUAAGCAUCGGCUAACUCCGUG